rnacentral:rRNA from 1 species
UACGUAGGGAGCAAGCGUUGUCCGGAAUCAUUGGGCGUAAAGAGCGUGUAGGCGGUCCGGUAAGUCCGCUGUGAAAGUCGGGGGCUCAACCCUCGAAUGCCGGUGGAUACUGUCGGGCUAGAGUGCGGAAGAGGCGAGUGGAAUUCCUGGUGUAGCGGUGAAAUGCGCAGAUAUCAGGAGGAACACCCGUAGCGAAGGCGGCACACUGGGCCGGUACUGACGCUGAGGAGCGAAAGCGUGGGGAGCGAACAGG